CUUCUGUUAGAUAACAGCACGCGUAUGUUAGCAUCCCGACUCACCACUUAUCUGUGUAGAAGAAAACCCGGACAUGUUCAAUACCGUAACUUCUCAUCCCACAAUGCCGAAGAUGAGCUCCCCUUAUUGAGCAAGAAAGGGAUAUAUUCUGAAAUAAUGUGCGGGGGGGUUUGGAUCGCUGAGAUUGCAACUUAUUUUGGUUAUACCUUUCAUGGGAGAUGAUUGGAAUAUGCAACACACUGUCUCACUUUUGAAAUCCAAUUAUAAACAAAUGGGAGCUCAUAAAUUAGCCCGUUAUACAACAGAUGAAUUCUCCUUAUGAAGCAUUAGUAUCCUGGAAUUCAUGACCCCUGACCAGCAGAGAUCCUUUCCAGCAUAGUGGGGAUGAGUUACCUCAAAGCAUUCUGAUUGUCGAUUAGGAGGUCAGGUUCAAUGGUUUGGUGAAGCUACUCAAAAUCAAAAGUCAAAACAGAGUGUGAUGUUAUUGAAUCACUUGGUUUGAAUUUACUACAUGAUGUAUGCGAGAAAUGUGGAGGUUUGCCCAUUGCCAUUGCUACUGUAGCAAGAGCAUUGAAGAACAAGACACAUUGGUUUGAAUGAGAAGAUGCUUUGUGAAAACUGAGAAUGCCUUCUCCAAUAAAGUUCACACCGUGGCUGGAAAAUGGAUAUUC